rnacentral:lncRNA from 1 species
GGGGGGGGGGGUAAGGGACGCCUACCACGCCUUAUAUGCUAUGAGGGACGUCGCGAGGAUGUUCGUAGCGAGAGACAUGACGGCGAACGCGGCGAGGAACGGGUUGUAUAUCUCCAAGAGCGCGAGCCCCGUCGUCCGGACGGCGCCCGAACUGUUAAACCCGAUCAUGCCGGACACGGUGGGGGCGUCAGACGGUUGGGGCAGGGCACACAAACGCUAGCACCGCAAACGGGGCGGGGAGGGGGAGGGGGGGGACAAACCUAGAGUCAACGUCAUGAGCAGCGGCCCGGUCCAGUAGACGGCUCUGUUGCGCCAGAUGACGCACGCGCGCCACCACACGAUCGCGUCCCCGAUAAUCCACUGUCGGAGUAAUGUUAGAGAGAGAGAAAACGUGCCAGUCGAAAUAGUGCGAUUCACGUUGACUUCGAGCGCAAACACCGCCAUGGCGAGUUGUUGGCGCAUCCCGUCCUCGAAGACAGCCAUCUCACGGCGCCCGUCGUACGCCGGGGAGAAGAGGCCGUCCAUCGCUCCCGAGACGAGUUCCUUUGCCCGCAAGCGAUUCCAUAUGAGUGCGGCGACGUGUGUGCCUGUGGACAUGUAAAUGAGGACGUUGCUGAGGACAAGCAGUAUCUUGACGUUAGUCCAUGUGACAAGAGACCCCUGGCGACUACCGGCAGUAAGCAUUAGCGCAGGUCCUUGAGUGAAAGAAACAAAGGGUUGCCCACCCCAGAAAGUACGUAGAAGUGAAGGAUAAAACUGUCAGAAUUCCUGUUGCUUUGUAAGGCCAGUGAAUCCGAAACUAGGCAGGCCGACUCACCGAACAGCAGGCUCAAUAGCGAAAUCUCCAUCAUCGUGUCCCCCGCAUUGACAAUCGAGUCCUGUAUGAUACUGAGUGCCGGUGUAUUCACUUCCAUCGCACGAAAGUCGGCAACUGUUGCGUUUUCUGGAGACAUACUCUGGCCGGAAUAGGGAAGGGACGUGGGGGAUGCGUAACGGGAGAAGGAAAGAGGCUCGACCUACGACCUUCGACUCGAUGCGGAGCGCGGAAUAGAAGAUAGAAUCCGAAACCACCAUUUCCUGAUGGCCGGCAUUCUACCGCUCAGACUUACCACCGUUCAUCGGAGUACGAUGCCGCAUCAGCCUCAGUAAAUAGAUCCGUCCUGGCUUAGACACGGAUCAAGGCGGUGGUCCCGGACGCUGAGCGCACGUUUUCUUAUGGGACGAGUCCGAGAGGGGAGCCUAUGAAAAUACUAGCGAUAGCGCUUUGUGUCAGUCGCUAGAUGGUCAUGAAGCGGUCACAAAGUCACUCGCAUUCCUGAUGCACUAGAUCCGGCAUCGGCUUUGAGAAUAAGGCCUCGUGCGGCGGGUCCUGGCUUCGAGGAUACACGACUGUGAGUGUGUCAUGUCUCAGAGAGUCAGUCCCCAGCCGUGACCACGCCCGAGAAGCCUCCAGGUGUCAACUUGGAGUCAAAAGCGUUUCGAUGGCACAUAUAAUGUAAGUGAGGACGCAAGGCGAAGGCGUGAAUCGGAAUGGCAUAGCUCACUAAGAUGAAGCGUCGGGAACAAGGUCAUCGACGGCAGCUGUGGCAUGUCGCUGAGUGACCGAUGCAACCUUUAACAAUCAACGCAAAUGUGAUCAAUAUAAAGCAUAGCCUGUAUGGAUUGAAUGACUCACUAAAACUAUGGUGAAUGAGUAGGGGUUCGUCGAAAGCCUGCCUGAGCACUUGGCAGCCGAGUCGCCAAGUCCGAGGCUCCAAGGCUUGAAGUUUGGGGGAGUUUGCGUAGUUGCUGGAUGCCAGAUGAAGGUACUUGCUAGAUAUAAUGGCAAAUGGAAAGGUAUCACUGUAACGUAGGGACGCAACAAAUAUAGUGAGCUGUAAAUGAGAAAGAGUCCGCCGCGCUGGCAGCAAGUUGAAGUUGAAUCCUGAUCAGAUGUCGGUGACAUGUCGGAGUCUCGAACGCGUUACGUCACGCGUCGUAUGUCAGCCACCAGCGCCCCACUGGCAUCCACCACUCCUUGCCCAUAACUCCUAGUACUGGUCCAGCUUAAUCCUCUCACAAACACACUGGAUUAUUCGAUUUUUAUAAUGACCUGGCUGUCGAUGUUUAAGCUCGCUGGCUCGGAGCACCGACAAGUACCCUUCGCGUCAGCUGACCUAGACUGUGGAUGCGGCGGCGAUUGAACUUCCAGAUGAAAGGUCAAGAUCCAAGACGAUACGAGGGAGUGUACGGGGAGAUAAUAAUUUCUCGCGCGAUGAUAAACACCCCCGACAUAGCCGAGACCACAGCCCAUCCACUUUCUCCGUCACGUCCGCGUCCCGACCUGUCUGUCGGCACCGGUGUUCAUACGUACGACCGGUUAUGUUCCUUAGUCCUUCAGGUUCACUAGUACGUUGGCAGGACGUGCGUCCAUAACUGCUCGAAAGCGAGCGUAGAAGUGUACGACACGUCCGAACAUGGUCCUGCGGAUGCUCGGAUUACACAAGGGUCCCAACCUUGGCGUGCCCCUCGGUUAUCGACAUCUCCCGCGAGCCGGUGCUGCGAUGGGUACCAUCUUCAUCCGCCCCAGUCAUGUCUACCGCGCUGGCGCUUCGGCAUGUAGAAUGACGGAAGACCAUUGCGCUCCCGGUCGUCCCUUCCUCAACUGCGCCGACACCACCCGGUCUGUGUGCCUGGUAAAUUUGCGACAGCACCCCGUUGUCGAUAGGCGACUGCUUGAGCGCGACGAGAAAGACGAUGAACGUAGGGUAGAUGGCCUGUCGAAGGUUGUGUCCCAUGAGAGAGGUCGGAUGCCCCCGCACAUUUUUGAAAACACGGGCGGGUGGGCUACUUACGACGAGGGGCCCGAUGCAUCCGUACACGAAGUAAUUGUCCACUUUGGUGAACGCCAGCCCGCCGGAGUCGUUGCCCGUGGCGGGGGACGGGGCCAAUCUCGCCCGGAAAUAAUAGACGAUGAUGAACAUCUGGACCGUAGCACGCGUUGAUGUCAAAGAGGGGGAGGGGCAGAUCAAGAACGACGGCUUGCGCACCAUAAAUGCGCAGAACACACUUCCCGACUCGACGAGCAAGGCGAGGACCUUCAGCACCUGUGACUUCGCACCGGCUUCGGAGAAGUAUUUCUGGACUAUCCGCCUGUGUUCCCUAUUUGAAGUUGUUUUCGUAGUUAGGACUUGAGUCAGAGAGGAAAAAACGGCAGGAUAUAUGCGUACCACGCCUUGUAUGCUAUGAGGGAAGUCGCGAGGAUGUUCGUGGCAAGGGACAGGACGGCGAACGCGGCGAGGAACGGGUUGUAUACUUCCAAAAGCGCGAGCCCCGUCGUUUGGACGACGCCCGACCUGUUGAACCCAAUCAUACCGGAAACCGUGGGGGCAUCAGACGGUUGGAACGCACGACUGAAUACGACUCAUUCGGAGAACCGCAGGGGACAAACCUAGCGUCGAGGCCAAGAAUACGGGCCCGAUCCAAUACACGACCUUCUUGCGCCAGAUGACGCACGCGCGCCACCACACGAUAGCGUCCGCCAUAACCCACUGUCAAAGUUAAAAUUUGUGAAGGAUGGUACUCAACAGUUGAUGGAAGCGGUGCUACUCACGUCUAUUCCGAGUGAAAAGACCGCCAUCGCGAGCUGUUUGCGCAUUCCGUCCUCAAAAACGGACAUCUCGUGCUGGCCAUCGUACGUCGGGGAGAAGAGGCCGUCCAUCGCUCCUGAAACGAGCUUCUUUGCCUGCGCCCGGUUCCAUAUGAUUGCGGCGAUAUGUGUACCGGUGGACAUGUAGAUGAGGACAUUGCCGAGCACGAGUAUCCGGACGUUCGCCGACGCGCCGAACGAUCCGUGGCGACUGCGAGUAGUUCUAGAUAUCAGCGUAGGCCCUUGUGUGAGAAGAAACGAGCGGUUUCCUACCUCAGAAAGUACGUUGAUGUGAAAGACAAAACCGUCAAAAUUCCUGUACGUUGUGAGGACGGUGAGCUGGGAACUAUGUGGGCCGACUCACCGAACAAGAGGCUCAACAGCGAAAUCUCGACCAUCGUGUCUCCGGAAUUGAUGAUCGAGUCUUGCAUGAUACUCAGUGCCGGCGUGUUGACCUUUACGGCAUGAAAGUCAGAAACGGUGGAGUUGCCGAGGGACAUCGUCCAACGAGAACAGAGCAGGGACGUGUGGGGGGACAGUGCGUAGUGGCGGAAGGCAAGGAACUCGACUCACCGGCAACUUAUUCCCUGCAACUGUAUCCGAUACGCGGUACAGAAACAGGUUACAAGCGCCGCGUUCUGUUCCCGACAACUGCCGCCCAUAUUGCGAACGGAGUGUGAUACCGCGCCAAUCCAAGUAGGUAGAGCGGGCCCGACUUGGACACAUUCCUAAAUGAGAUCGGCAUCCCGGACGCUAGACACAGUUGUAUUAAUUAUGAUGUCAUAGUGCCAAUGUGAAACCGUUUACUUACCUGCACAUAACGCACCGAUGACGGAGUGGAGAAAGAGAGCGUUGUGUCGGGGUAUGACGCAAUGCCACAAAGUGCGGGCGCAUGACCCGGGACUCUGCCCGAGCGUUCAGACGUACAGUCGUUCGAGUCGCUUUCUUUCAAAAAACAAGUGCGGGUGGUUUCCCGCAUGGCAUUGCUGCAUCGUGCACCCGCUAACUCCCAAGCCCGAUCCGAGGAGGAACACAUAAGCCUCAACCAGCAGGACCGAUAAAAGUCGUCCUAUUACUUGAGUGUAUACAGGCAGAGAGGCUCAGGGCGGCGGCUCACCUUCACCUUGAAUGUCCAUAGCGCAGCUUUCAAAUUUCCGGUGCAACUCAGAGCGGCUGCGGCGUGCGACUACUGGCAAUACUGAGCUUCACGGCAGUGUGGGAUGCAGGUUGAGCCACCAAUGAGCGCCACUUCGUCCGCAUGAUCUGCAUCCUGUGGACCCGCGCGUCGCGUCGGGCCCUCCCGAUGUGCUCGCACAUCGCGCGGAACAUAUUUUUGCAGCGCUCCUCGAACGGCGCCCUCGUGAGGGUGGUGGAGAAGUCAAUGCCACCCCGGCAUAUUGGGCAUCGGCCGCGAUUGUCGUGUUGGCUGCGGGGGGCUGGGUACGCUUCACGCACGGGUCGUACCAGGCUACGGCGCGAGGUGCGCGACGAGGCGGCUGUCGAAGCAGAGUCAUCGCCGUGCAGCUGCGACAUGCCUGCAGUUGCACGGAUCCUGAAUAGUGCACCCCCAUGUCCAUCCCGUAGGCUUCAGGGGGAAUAGCUGGGUUCGCUGUUGAGACGGAAGAACCACAAACCGGCAGCGGCGGCCGCAACCUCGACUGCCUGCCUGAGCGAAACAAAAGUACAUGGGAAAGGCGAUGACUGCAAAGUCGACAGAGCCGAUGAGAUGAGCUAAAGCCGUUUUCUUCAACUUCAAGUGUUCAGGUGCCGACCAUCAGUAGGAUCUCAUCGGGAGACUAUGGACAUACAAUCAGCGCCUUUCAGCGAUAACAACCGUCAAUAUACAGUAUGCGCAUCACUUACGAACUUCCCCACCUGUCCGCGAUAUCGCAUACGGACGCCCGGCGUUGAGUCCGGUUUAGAACGGAAAAUCGAAAGAUUUUGAUGUCGGAGUGGACCUCUUUAUCAGAGAAGCGCAACUAUGCAGCUGUUUCACCUAUUAAAACGGUAUUGUAGUUUUCGCGGCAUCGCCCACUUUGAAGUACUCCGUGUCGGGGAAGGCCACGUAGGAUUGGCGUGCUGAGAUUGCCCCAGUCCUUGAGAGUAAUAUCGACACUAUCACUGUUCCAGAUGGCUAUACGGCUACGGACCAAGCAGUCAGUGGUAGAUGCAACUCCAGCGCUGGCACCGGCUCCGCCAACCCUGAGGGAAAACUCACCAGUCAGUGGUGCUAUCGAUAUUUAUCGCCCCGUGCGCCCUGCUGGGUGUUAUGCUGCGAUUACAUAAAACGGAAAAAUAUGCGAUAUCGUGCGCUGCAUCAUAAGAGGGAGUAAGUUGAAAGCGAAUACUGUAUAUAGAGGCGAUUGGGGAUGAAGGAGACCAGUGAAAGUGGCAUCCGCGCCUCUGAUUCUGUUGGCCCACAACAGCCGCCCAUCAGAUCUCGAUCGGGCGAGACCCCAGCCAAGUCCUCGUCCGCUAACACGGUCAGACCUACAUCCCUCCGAGCUCCUCCUGCAAAUCAACUGCUUCAAUCUUUUCCGCACGAAUGUCAGUCUCUUAAUGCCUCCAAGCUCAACUGUCAACAGCAGACGCUCCGGCCACCGCAUUCUGUCCCCUUCGUCGUUUAUUUCCUGCAUACGCCGGCUCCCUCAGACAACUCUGAAGCUCCGGAAUGCUUUUUCCCCCCUUCCUCUCAACCCUACCCGCCUUAUUCAAGAUACGAUCCACGACGACCGAGGCGGGGAAGGUGAGACAUGGGCUUGAUCAAAAGCAGGAGAGUGACGGGCCCGGGGAUGACGCAUGCAUACACGCAGUGAGAAGCAAGUCAAUGUAAUUGUAAGCACUUACGUUCUCGUCCCUACUCCUCGUGCCUCUCCUCCCCCCUUUCCCCUACCCCAUCACGAUGGAGGCCCUAUGUAGCUUAGGCAGCGUCCAAACACCUGUGCGCCCCAAAGGCGACGAGUGCUCUUCGCAGGCUCCAUCCCUGACCGUCUCUAGAUCUCUCAAGUGGGAGUGAAGGCGAAGGCUCCCAGAACAACGUUGGAGCUGAUGCAACUUUGAAGAACGGGUUCCUGCGCCUCCGUCUCAAGCACUGGAAUGUUUACGUUCAUCAAAUACCCAGCUGUUCAAGUCGACGAGCGCGAUCGUACGCACCACCGCCCGCUUCCCUCGCCUCCUCUCGAGCCUUCAAGGCCGGCAUCCCCACAGCAUCCCCGCAGGUGUUACGUUGGACCUCGACGACGCGUCCAAGUCACCCAAGGCCAUCCCACCUUCUCCACGUGCGCAGCCGGCUGCGCGAGCAGGAUGAUGGUCAAGUUCGAGCGGCAUGGCACGCGCUCGCUCGACAUGCUGCGCGCGGCGUUAUGUCUACGUUUCGGUGAAUUAUGAUAACAGUACGGUGUGCGCGCCGCGCCCAGGGCCGAUGCCGUCCAUGGAGACAACGCGCUCAAUUGCAACCAAUGUCCGCUUCCGCUUCCACUUCCUUCUCAGAGGAGGCGAGGAUCGACGUUUGGGCGGUCGGCGCUAGCGCCGCACUGGGUGGGGCUCGAUAGGCUCCCCUUCUCGAGCCACGCUGCCACGGGGUGUGCAACGUUAGCGUUACUUAACCAUCCCGUCUUCUUGCUUGCCUGUAUGUCCGGAAUCCAGAUCUGAGGCGCACCCAGUGGUGGCUGCGGCGCCCGCGCGCAUGCGGCAUCUUCGAGGUCUUCUUGUCCGGAUCCCGAUCCCCAGAUGGGAAGGAGCCGGGGAGUUUCAGGGUUUGAUUUCAACGAGGUGCGGUGCGGUGCACAUGCGGGGCAGAACGGGAUGUCUGGCUGUGAUGGAGGUUACUUGAAUGGUGGUCUGGGAGACUCGACGGCCACCUAUGUGCCUGGUUCAGCCCUUAAUCUGAGGCCUGAGAGAUGGUCUCUGUUCGACGUGUUUGUGUAUAGCGGUGACCUGCAUACCUUGGGGAUUCACAUUCGAGCCUGUGUGUAAGGAUGUGGCACGGCGCACGGCUGGAGGUACUUAGAGAAAGAACACGAACAUCAGCUUGAAAAACGUCAUGCGGUGCAGGGCUGCGACGGCAAUUCCACAGGCGCAGUCAGUAGUACACGAACGCAGCACAGCAUGAGCAGUGGGGACAUCGAAGACAUGGAGACCGUUCAUGAGCGUUCAUGCUGCGCGAAAGCGAUUGAUACGACCGGGACCCCAAUUCCACAGCCAUGAUCCACUCAAUCCCUUUGAUGAUGGCGCCAAACAGCGGCGAUGUCCGUUGCUUGUCGUGCUACUUCGCCUCCGAUCUACCUCGGUCCGCCUGACAGUACUUAUAUAUGUGCUGCAUCGAUCAUAGCCACUAGCAGCACGCAUCCCAUCCAGCCAUUCUCUGAACAUCUCCAGGCUCUUAGCUCUACCCACUGACGACACACAUGUUCACCAAAGACAAUAAAGCCCCCGCGGCGCUCGCGGUCUACUAUCCGCCGGCGGUGUACACCCCGGGGAGCGUCAUCGAAGGCGAGGUUGAGGUCAACUUCCGCUGCAUCCAGGAGGACAACAUCGACGAGGUCCACGUCAAGCUCCGCGGGCUCGCUUACACGUGCGUCUUCCUCGACCACCGCCCUGAGCGGUGAACGUUGAACCGGCGCUAUACAACAUUGACGUCGACCGCACCCCGCACCCCCGCAGAUGGAUCAACCAGGACAAAGUGACGCUCGAAGAGAAGACCCAGCUCGCGCACGACGAGCUCUCGCUCUGGGUGCGCGGCAGCGGCGCGUACCCCGCCCCGGGCACCGACAUCCUGCGCCUCCCGUUCCGCUUCACGCUGCCCGCGGGGCCGCUGCCCCCCUCCUUCAAGUACCAGUCGUCCUGGCAGUUCGCGCAGGUCAAGUACUCGGUGUGCGCCGUCGGCGCGCGCAAGGGCCGCUUCACGCCGAACCGGCGCCACCGCGUGCCGUUCGCGGUCCUGCCGCACGAUGCCCCAGGCGCGGCGCUCCGGCUCGAGGGCGCGACGCACGGGUGGCGGCGGUUCUUCAACGAGGACAGCAUCCGGAAGGGCCUCUGGGGGGACUACGCGAAAGUGCGCGUCGAGGUGCGUCUGCUCGCCGCGUUCUUUGCGCGUCUUUCCUUCGCGCCCCCCCCCCCCUCGAGCCUGACCGCCGUACUUACGUACUUAUACUUAUCUCCCCGCCCGGGCCCCCACGCGGCUGCAGCUCGCGCUGCCGGACAUCCCCGUCCUCCCGCUCUUCGCGGACAUCCCGUACACGCUCACGGUGACGACGACGAGCGCGCCGCUCGCACGCGCGAAGGCGAAGGCGCAGGCGCAGACGGACGCCAAGGCCACGUCGUUCCCGCCGCUCCCGCGCGACCCGCACGAGCUCGAGCUCGAGCUCGCGCAGAAGCUGCUCAUCCGCGCGGACAGCUUCAAGGGCAAGGCGAGCCACACCGUCGCGAGCAUCCUUGGGGGCAAGAAGGAGAAGCGCGCCGCGCAGGGCAAGAUCGACAUCGAGCUCCCCGAGCGCGAGUGGGUCCCGCUCGCCGCGCCGCUGGUGUCCGACGCGAGCUGGAAGGAGGGGGGGGAGAAGGCGGGGGAGCAGGAGGGCAAAGGGUGCUGGGUGCAGCGCGCGACGUUCAAGUCGACGUUCCGCCUGAACUGCCCGCCCGCGUUCGCGGUGCACAAUAUCGAGUGCAACGUGCGUCUCCCCCCCCCCCCAUUUACUUAUCUUUGCAUCGUGAUGUGGUUCGCUGACUGGAUACUACUCGGACUGCAGUACGUCUUCAAUGUCAAGGUGCCGUUCCCUGGGAUUGGGAACUCGCUAAAGCUGGAGGUGCCGGUGAACAUCACGUCGGGCAUCGACAAGCCGCUGGCGCGCGAUGAGUCUGCGGGCGCAGAGAACGAGCCUCCCAUACUCGACCUCCCGCCGUGCGUGACGUUUCGGACCUUCGCUCUCGUCUGUUCUUGUUUGACUGAAUAUAUGCCGGCGACAGUGCGUACUGGGACCCCGAAAGCAACGACUGGGACGGCGAUGAGAAGGACUAGACGUCCCCGUCGCCAUAUUUAUGGUCUCUCCUAUUUUAAAGUAGGAGCGCAUCACGUUGUAGCGCCUCUAAGAUCAUCUGUAUGCUACCACACUAUGGUCGCGCUUGUUUGUAUAGUAGCCUAUGUAUAUCAUGAGAUAUUGGAGCCAUUUGGCGAAGGCGGCGGCGAACAUGCGAAAACAAACAUACACGGAAGAACCGGCCCGUAGAUGCCGCGUUGCCGCGGCUGGCGCUGUGCACUUUUCUCAAGUCUUCCAGUUCUACUGUCGCCAACGUCUGCGUUGCUUAUGACUAUGAUCCUCUGUAGCCCCACAGUCUGAUGCUUCUGCCUUCUCGCAGCGCCUCGAUGACGAAUCACAUCCGAAGUCCUUAACCCGGAGCAUUACCAUGGCAGGUAUUCACGUGACACCCGCUGUCAGGCCGUACUCUCGCGCUUCAAGCCUCAGGAUCGCAUUUACAGUACCCCACAUAUCAUAUCAACUCAGUCAGUAACUCGUGCUGGAGAAUUAUGUCUGAUGGUACGUUCGGAGAUGUUUCUGCUCUUCGCGCCGUUUAUAUGCUGGAAUGUCUUUUUUGCGCCAGCCGCCCACGAUUGUGACUCAGCACAUACAAAGCAAUCUUGAUGUCCAUAGGGCACCACACGCCAUCUUCCUUCCCAGAGGGUGCCUCAAGCUGCACAGGAUCACCAUGUCUUGCCCAAAUGUGGUCGUGAACCUUACUACUGAGACAUUGCUGCCUCUGUAUAGAGCUUGGUGACUAUCCUCUCGUUCAUCAGAAUUAGAUGCUGACAGUGGAAGCACAGCUCGGACGGACGGGCGAGUAUCGUGUACCAUGUUUGGCAUGCCCAUACUGUGUGCAAUAACCUCCGAUCAUUCUCACCAUCAGUGGUCCGUUCUUGCCUUACUUCGUAAGUACGAAGCUAGUAUACCUCUCACUUGACUAAUUUUCACAGGAAAUUCAAGUUCCCCGCGACGUCAUGGUAUGAUAGCAUGUAGGGAGUAAUCGGACCUUGCACUUUUAUUGUUCUCGGGACGUGAUCGCCCCGUCGCGCUAUGUAAAUCCUGAUAUCUCAAUCUCUGAAGGUCUACAAUUAUAUCCGUGAGAGUCAACGGCACGUCCUGAUCGUUUAUCGUACCCCGCGGUAGGUCCCGAAGUUUAAUCCGCAAUUUCGAUUGGGUCUUUUAACAAGCGGGACCUACUAAUAGUUCGGCAUCGUUGCCUCAGCCUCGUUGCUACAAUAGCCAUGAAGGACAGGGGUACGUGCAGCGCACUUCUCUUCCGCCAAAGGCUGAACGUCGCUCUCAUAGCCGAGCGCUGUAUUUUCGCACCAACUAGAUCUAGCCUGUGCCUUCCAAGCAGUUCGUCAGCAAGCAUGAUUGCACCGUGUUGUUUCGCAAACGGGCUGGCGAGCCCUUCUCACUUGAACGAUUGAACUGUAGGCACCGUCAGCACCGCCACAUUGACGGCAACAACGGUACCUUUACGAUCUUCCUUUGUUCAAUGUUUUCCCUACUCAAGCUGAUGUCUCUGCGUUGCAGAUCAGGCGUGGAUUCUUCGGAGUAACGUAAUUGAUAAGUAGGUACACCGCCUGUAACUAUCAUCAUCCCUCAGGCUUAUAAACGGGCUCGUACAGUGCUUCCACCUCCUUUCCGCCCCUCGACUGCAUGCGAUGUUUCCCAUAGUCAGCGAGCCUCAGCCUGCGCCGUAUGACUUGUACACGAUCUCUCUCAUUUUGAGGGGUCAUGACACCUACACCACUGCCUUGUGGCCCUGCAUCGUUUUGCUGAUCCUGUCAACGGCACUGCUAGGUACUUGGCGUCCUCCACAUUCGCACCAAGUUGCGGGCUGACAUUGGUUACAGGCCUAUUCACUGCAUUGGCGUUAUUCGCCACCCUAGUCCUAGUGUGAGCGAACUUGGCCUGUCGUCAGAUUCUAGUCGCUCAUUGACACGGGCCUCCACAAGGCGAAAAGGCCUGCGCCAUCUCUCGAACUUCGUCCUGUUCGCGGUCAUCCUUCUAAUGUAUGCGUCGUCCGUCCUCCACUGGACGACACACCUCCUCAACGUCAUCGGCUACUACAACGUCGCCCGAGCAUACGCAGCUCAGCUGCUGUGCCAAUCCACCAGCGGAGACACGUGCAGCCUCCUCUGCCCAGUCAUCACGUCGCAGAAGCUGUCGUGCCCCAUGAUCAGCUUCGGCCUUCCUGGCUCCGUGCACGGGCUUACGGUGUGCGCACCCACUGCCAUUCUCACGAUCAACGUUCGUCUUUCUCCAUCGGUCGGGCGCAUGGAACUGAGCUAAGUGCAGAUAGUCCUUGGCGACGCCGUCGUGUGGUGGCGCGUGUGGGUCAUCUGGCCGCGCAGUAUGCUCGUGCGGACAACCUGCGUGGUCCUGCUCACCGCGACGUUAGGUCCGUCGUCCUCCUUUUCCCUCCACUGGCCCUAGAUUCCGAAGCUCACCCCCCCCCCCAUCCGACCGCGCAGCCAUGGGGAUCAUUGACACGACGGACUCGUGCUCGAAGGCCGCAGCGUUUUCGGCUCUUUCUGUAUUCAACCUGACGGACGUACCCCUCGGGUCCUUCUACCAGUUGGACUUGUUCGGGCUCACCGCGUCGGUGCUGUCCUUGGCGACCAUGCUCACCGCGUCGGUGCUGUCCUUGGCGACCAACAUGGUCGCCACUAUUCUGAUCGCUUGCAAGGCCUGGUGCGUAGCAUGAGCAUCGCGAUAUCGAUAUCUUCUUCUUCGGGCGGCUGAUGAAUGUCUCGUGCUACAUAGGGAACACGGCAAGAUCAUGGGCAGCGUGUCGUCGCUCAAGAGGAGCGGCAGUCGGGUCGAAAAGAUCCUCAUCUUUCUCGUCGAGUCUGGCACCGUGUACUGUGUCAUUUGGGUAUGCCUGCCUGCCUGCCGCUUCACAGAGACGUGAUCACGUUAAAACGUUAACCCGGGAUUUCUCUAGGUAUGCGUCCUCGUGCAUCAAGUCGCGUUGCUGGGUAGCGCCGGCGUCGUACCUCCGUUGGAGGAAAGGGUGCUCACGCAGUUCGACUACUUCAUAAAGGGGUGCCUCAUCCCUCUCAUCGUAUGUUCUCUCGCAGUUGUGGUUGCCGCCCAUCCAUUGAUAUAGAUAUUCUACUUCCCAGGGAAUGUACCCGACCGUGAUCAUCACCCUCGUUGCGCUCAACAAAUCGCACUUCCACGGGACGUCGUUCGGGGGCGGUCCCGUAUCCGAUAUCUCAUUCCGCCAUCCCUUAAGCAUAACUGCAACUUCGGCCAGCAAGAAAGUACAUUCCUUGCCGACGAUUACAUCUUGGCCCCACACCUCUGCCAGUGCAGCUUCAAAGAGAGAAGAUAGAAGCGCUGUCACCACUGAACUCGAGCCUCAGGUGGACAAUUCUUCCUCGGAUAGUUGCAGCGCCCUGGGUGCUCGAUGAUGGCCAUCGCAUGCAUAUAUGCAUACCUGGUUUUUGCGCGCUCAGUAUGUCCUUCCUCGCCGUAGCUUGUCCAUCGCGAUUAAUUUCUAAUGGGCCACCCUCCAGGCAACGAGCCGGAUGCCUCGCAUUCCCCUGGACUCGGUGAAGGUCUGCAUCCGUUCAUCGAAGUCGGGCACGACACUCCUUGGCCGAUAUUGUGUUGACAGACGACGAGCAACGAGCUCGCUCACCGUCGUUGCCGCUGUUUUACCUUGAGAAAUGGGGUACGUACGUACAGCGACCAGAAGCCAUGCAUGUUAGGCGUGCAAAAGUGGUUUAACUAUUGCGAAUCUGUAUCUCAUUAGGACUUGUAUUACGACUCGGACGAUGUGGAAUACGUGUACAGCUAGUGUACAAAUAUACGGGUCAUGACGGCGACGUCGAGUAACAUAGCAAAGUUUCAAAGGAGAGAUAUGAAUGUGAGCAACCCAAGAGUCCUAGAAUUCUGUGUCCGUUUGAAUUAUAGAAUCUUCGAUUAAAGGGACAUCCUCAAAGCUCGCCGAGCAGAUGACCGAAACCCCCAUCCCCGAGUCCGAUUAGCUACGAUGCGGGUCCGGGUAUCAAUGAAGCUCAUAGGCCGUAAAAUCCUCCUAGCGAUCUUCCCUAGAAGUCUUGGGGGAAGCUGAUGACGCGCUUCGGGUCGUACUUGUCCUUAAGCUCCUUCAGCCUCUCGGUGUGCGUAGGGUAGUAGCGCUGGUGCGACUCCUCCGCCGUGUACGUGCUGUCGACAUAGUUGACUAUGCAGCGCCAGCCACGCACGCACUCAGCAUCGACUAUCCACUCGCAAGUGAAAAUAAAGUACGACCACCCACCAUACUCCUUGAACUGCGUCUCGGGCUGGUUGUCCUCGACGGCCCUCUUCAUGCCCUGGACGAACGCGAUCCCGUCCUCGUCCGCGACGACGCCGUCGGGGAUCGUGCCGUAGUACUGGAUCGAGUACAGCGCGUCGCGCGCGUCGAACGCGUUGUAGUCCCCGUCCACGGCGCUCACCGCCGAGUCGCCCCCGCCGUACAGGUCGAAGAUCGCGAACCACCGCACGUCCGUGUCCGCGCCCGGGCCGUACAUGUACGCGAAGAGCGCGUCGGACGCGGCCGCGUUCAUCAUCGGGGCCUGCGCGGGCACGAACGUCGACGUCGCGUAGAAGGUGUCGUGCGUGUCGGGCGCGAGCGUCGUGUUCAGCUCGUCGAUGCUCGUCGCGCCGGCGAGGCUGAGCACGGACGUGAUCCAGUCCUGCGCCUGGAGGGAGGUGGCCGUGGGCGUGCCGAGUUUCGCGAGGAGCGGGGCGAAGGUGGCGUUGACCGUCGCCUCGUCCGCACCGUCUGUGUUCCGUUAAGGGUUACAUCAGGUCAGCGCCAUGGUCCGCCCGAGGAAGAUCAGGCUGCCACUCACAGUAGACCCCAGAGACGGAGAAGAUGAUAUCCUUAGGUCUUUCAUCGGAGGUAUCGAUGUGGAUCUGCAGACCGACAGCCUUGUCGAGCUUGUUGUACGGGUCGUUUGCGAACGCCUGCCAAGCCUGCAGGCCUUUGCUGGCCUCCUCGGCGCCAUAGUCGGCAAACGUGUACGAGAACGCGAUGGAGUCGACCGCUUCAUGUGUCACCGCGGUGAACGACGUGACGAUGCCGAACGACGCGGCGGCCCCGGUCGCCGCCCAGAAGAGGUCCGCGUUCUCCGUGUGCGACGCGUUCAGGAUCGAGCCGUCCGCGGUGACGAUCUCGAGCGACAGGACCUGGUCAGCGAGGAGACCCCAUGCACGGGAGGGCAGCCCGAAGCCGCCCUGGCCGGUGUGCCCGCCGGAGCCGACAUACGGGCAAGUUCCAUGUGCCAUCGCGCGCUGGCCUGUCAGGCAUUCGAAGCUGUAGUUAGAGCUCCGGCCGCCGUGUGAUUAUGGGCGCUCCGAUGAAGGGAGCCCCGCAUACGAACUGACGCACCGUUCUCCCAGAGAUAGAGGGCAACGUCGCCGAGGUGGUUGCCGGUACCGAAUGUGACCAUGUCGCCAUCCAGAGAAAGGUGGCGGAGGUGGUCGAGGCUGACGGUCAAGUGGCCAUCCUCACCCCCAAGCGCGAAUGCAGCGUCUGGUGCAAAACACGGAGUGUGUCAAUGCCGGGCGGAAAAUGCAGAGUCGUACGGAACGGUCUUACAGGAAUGGCCUCCGCUCCGUGCAUUGACCUUGACACCGUUGUCGGCGCCGCACUUGACGGCGGCGGCAACGUCCUUGGAAUCCAUCGGAUACACGAGAGCAGCGGGCUUCCAAUUGAAUCUGUGAAAACAGCAGAGAGAAGGUAUCAAUCAGCGAGCGAGUUAGCUUGUGAUAACAUGAAGUUACGGAGGACGUACCGGAGGUUGAAGGGGGCAGCGUCCGUGGCAUAAUCCGGGUCGCCCUCGACGACGGGGUCGAGCCCGGCAUCUUCUAGGCAGUCAAGGAGGCCGUUGCUCACGCGGGACUUGAGCUGGCUGUAUGGGACCCCAGCGGCAAAGACAGAGGAGACAACAGAAAGAAUAACAGAGCCUGCAAGGAUUCGGCGCAUGGCGAUGAUGAGAGUGAGAGAGGGAAACGAGACGAGAAGAAUGGGAAGAGUCCCGUAAGACUGAAGAAAGGACGGACCUCGCAGAGCCCUUAUAUUUCGCCUGUGUAGCACGUUUGCUGCCGCAGAAUGAGCGCAGUACUUGUGUUGCAACCUAAACUGGUACACGGAGAAUCGAAUGAGUGACAUCGGGCACCGGAUUGAACGAUGAAUGGAUGCUAACCCCACGAUGACGCAACUGGGGAAGCGCCAGGAUGGUACGGAUGGAUGGAGGCUGUGGUGUCGGAUGGUGACACAAUGACAGAAACCGCCUAAGACUAUGCACGCCGAAAGGCUUGUGUGCGUUCCCUAAAGGCUCGUUCGGGACCGCCGUCGGACAUCCCUUGGCAAGACGCUCUUCGUCGCCUCGCCCCGCGUCCGAGUCCGGCAAACGUCGUAGUAGAGGCCGUCAUAAUGGCAGCUAGGCCGCUCUAUUCACAUCGUUCCCGCUCUAUGGCCAUGCAUACAACUGUGUGUAGCCGCCCGGUGUACCGCCUACGGCGGUGAAAUGUCCGACAGUGGUUCACCAAAUGCGCGCUCCGAUUGUGAUCUCGACAGGCGAGCCCAGCAAAGCGGCCGGUGGGCGCUGCGAAACUGGACCACCGGGCACGGAGCUGGGAGGUCGCGAGUUGGCUAUUCGUUUCGAGGAGGGCUAUGAAGCAAUGUAACCAAGACUGUCGGCGACAGCUUCAUAGAGAAGAGACUCACGAGAUUUGUCAUGGCACUGCGAACCAAGACUUUGGAGAUCCGAAGAAUGCGGUAGCCCCGUUUGCUCGCAAAAGCCGCUUCGGAUCCCUGAGGCUGUCAAGAGUUUGAGUUACGCACGAAAGAUGAGAUAAUCCCAUGUUUUAGGUUCAAUGAAAGCAGAAGCAGAAGCAACGGGCUAUCCACGAAAUGAGAAUGCACAAAUAUGGGCUUCUUGAGGGUGAAGUUUGGAGGGCGUGAAGAAUGUAACAGUACUGCAACCACGUAGGAUCCGCCAUGUACUUCUUUCCGACGGGUCCCUCAAAGAAUAACUCACGUGAGUCACUUGAGCUUGCUUCCAUAUUUCUCUGCUCCUCACGGUAACUCAACCUCUAGGAAACGGACAACAUGAUGUAAAGGGAGGGUAACGUCCCAAACCCUAGGGCAAGCAAUAUAGGUGAGUAUGUCAAAGUGAUAAAAUAAACGAUUCGGCUCACCGUUAUGCUACAAACCUCCCCAUAUCCCACAUUGUUUGUAUACAAGCGGAUGUAUCUCCCAUAGCUAUAGUCGCAACGGAUGUAUUGUCGAUCCACCGUGACGAGGAUUGUCGACGUUUGGAGGAGUUUUGGGGGACGACCUAGGGUUAGAGCCUACAAAAUUGUAGGGUUGUGUUCACCUGCGUGUGUAUUUUCGAUCGUAGAGUAACGGAUCAGAGAAAGCGGUCAGAAACUCAAUGGAUAUGGGCAGGGAGUAUAGGUGAGGGUGCCAGCCGCGGCCAACCUGCAACUUGCCACCUGGCCAGUGUUAUCUAAUCUAAUCUAUGUUCCACUAUAUGGUUCGGCGUCGUUCACUGCCAUCAGUACGGUACUUGUUACGUUGGUGGGCCCCGGGGAAGAAAACAAACAUUAUCAUCUACUUAAUUCCAGGAGUGCUAGGAUUGGAAUGGUCGAGCCCCGAGGCUUUGUGAGCAACCCACUCCUCGCAUAUGCGUCUGCACAGGAUGUCCAACUUCAAUCCGACUCACCCCCUUAAUGCACACAAUGAUACACACAAGUCGUGCACUCGGAAGGUACCAAUUCUCGUAUACUCCUUUCCAUUUUGGACCAUCCCCAAUGUCGAUCUGGCCAGACGAACUCCAGCGCUCGUAACUAGUACUCAGUACUCAUCCCUGGAUCAUCGACACCUCGUCCUCCCCGCACUUCCGGAACAGCUCCCCCCAGCUCCCCCGUCAUCUCCCUCCACACCGGCCCCCGCAAAAAGUCGCGCACGCGCGCGUCAUGCGGGUCCACGACCUGGUCCUUGUCCCCCAUCUUCGCGAACAGGAACAGGCCCCGCAGCCCGACCCGGUGCAGCGCCAGCGGGCACGCGUCGUGCUUCGCCAGCUCCCCGAACCGGAUGUUCGCGUUCAGCACCUCGUCCAUGUCCAUAUCCACGCCCACGCCCGCACCCACGCCCACGCCCACGCCCACGUCUGCCGCUCGGCAUCGGCACCUGUAUGAUUCCUGCGCUCCGGAGUCUGCUCGGGAUGACGGCCGGGUAACCCCCACUGGUCGAGCUCCGGCUCGCGCAGCCACCUGCGAAUGAGGCGGAGCGCGGCGGCGACGGCGGCGACGGCCGCCACGUCGUUCGGGGCCGUCGCGGCCGCGAGGAUGCCCCCGUCGGCGAGGAGCUCGCGCGCGCCCUCGAUGGGGGCCCGCGCCGGACCUGCGUCCGGACGGACUCGAGGAAGUCGACGCCGGCGCGCAGGAGGUAGCCUUGAGUAAGUGGAAGCUAGAGUAUAGCGGUAAGUAGCCCCACGAGUUGUUCGCCGGCUCGUCGUCGCCGGAGGUGUCAAAUUUGAGCGAGGCCUCGAUUUCUAAGUUCUUCGCGCCUGUUAGCGCGGCGGACGUGGAUGAGCCACAUGGGCGGCGGUCCUGUGUGGCACGUCGUUUGAGGACUUCAGCGCGCAAGGCGAAGGGAACACUGACCUCGCAUGCGCAGGUUGCAAGUGUGGGUUUCGAGGGGAAAUCCUGGCUGGACUGGACGUCAAUGCGUGCGCCGGGUGGGGACGAGACCAACCCUACCUCGUGUAGGUCGUGCGAGCUAAAAUCUAUUCGCGAUUGAGGAUGUACCGACGAAGGCCAGUGAUGGUGAUGGUGGAAGCAGAGAGCGAGGAGGCAAUAGGAGACAGGAGGAAGGCCGAAGGGGUGUAACAUAUGCGCGUCGCAGAGGCACGUCCACCUAUCCGUCGACACGUCCACCGGUGAGGUCGAAGGCUGAAUAUUAAUAUUUAUCAUCCCAAAGUGCGAAUCGUAGUCCGAAGCUUGAUCGAGAAAGAAACCCAAAAUAUAUUCCUAGGACCGAAGACAUGCGAAAAAAAAAACCCUCCCCCACAACACCAUCGAGUCCGGAGAGGCUUCUCAACAUCAGUUAUAUAGCAAAGAGAACCACACCCUCGCCACGAAGCGGUGGUAAUGCAAGACAUGGAUGCUCUCAAAACAGAAUCCAAAGACGGCUCACCCUAUAUCCAGCAACCUUCUGAGAGUGACGCACGACGGCCCCUUCCUUCGUGAUCGUAUGUACAUUCUCGGCACACUGUUACCAGCAAUCAGCCCACGGCGCUCUCGUCAACGACAGACAGGUGACGACAGACGGACAUUGUAUGAUCUCUCCAUAUUCAACAAACGCUUUCGAUGUGUGUGUGGAGAGGCACAGGGCCAUCUUUACGAUUGCCAGUGAGCGGACACCUGCAACAAGACAAAAAUAUCAUAUGCUCCAUACACACAAACCUUUUCUUACAUACGCGGCGUCCUGCGACGCUGCAAGUGCUAGCCGCCGUGGAGAUGUGGAGACAUAGUAGGCGAGGGGAACAGAACAAAGAAAAGAAACGACCGACCGGACGUAGUACCGUAGUAGAGGGGCUAUAGGUAAAGCGACGUAACGAACAAGAGUGGAGAGUACCGCACCGCAUGCAUGACCGCCCGCCUAAAACCUCCCUUCAACCCUGGACCUCGACGCCGACUCGGACGGCCGCCGAGCGCACAUGCACGAGGCAGCAAUGAGUCAAAAUGAUGCUGGUGAAGAAGGAAGGGGUGGAGGGGACGGACUGGUGAGCACAUCCCGUCUGCAUCUCGAGCGUCCCCGGUGAGGUAGCCUCCAAUGUUGCGUGCGUCGCCUACAAGAAGUCCUCGGCCCUUGCUCGUUUCUUGCCGCGCAUCUCCUCGGGAGGUACAUUGGGCACGGGGCCGUCAGCGGAUACAGGGAAGAAGUACUUAGGGUUUCUUGACCGCGUCUCUUCCUGUGGGAUGGUUAGACAACGAGACAAAGGACAACGGUAGACGGCAACUUGCCGGUGAGAAGUUCGCAUCAGGCCACUUAAGAACCGUAGCCUUCUUGAACGUCGGAUUGACCUGCGCCAGGGACGGGUUCGGUAGUACGAGAGGGGUAGGUGGAACCGUGGACGCCGGCCGCUGCUGUUGUUGCUCUGGUUGCUGUUGUGGUGGUUGCUGGUCGUAUGUCGGAGGCGGGAUUGUUUGGGGAGGAGGCGCAACAGCGGGUACGAAGGUAGGAGCACCAAGGGGAGGAGCGCCGGGCACUCCGGGAGGAGGUGAGAGUGGUGACGCACCGGGAAUAGGAGGAAGGUUGACGCCGGGAGGCAACAUUCCCGGAGGUGGAGAGAAUGCUGGAGGCGGUACACCCGGUGGGCCCAUACCUGGAGGGAGGAACGGAGGAGGGAAAGGUGGUCUCACACCUGGAGGGAACGGUGGCACACCCGGUGGCAUCAUGCCAGGGGGUGGAGAGCCAGCGAAAGGCGGAGGCAUACCCGGGAAGCCGGGCGGCAGAGGCAUGCUGUUGACACCAAAAUGAGAAAGAUUCUAACACGAAUAGAAAUACGACUCACCCAGGCGGCAUAGGCAUGCCGGGAAGGGGGAAGGGCUGACCUGGGAAACCUGGAGGGGGAACUCCGGGCAUGAAAAGGGGCGCACCUGGAGGCAUAACUGGAGGAACACCUGGCGGAGACAUGACGGGCGUCGGGAUUGCAGGAGUAGGAGGAGCGGCAUAUGUUUGUGAAGGAGCUGCAUAGACUGCGCCCGAUGCGGCAUCUGGCACGGGGGGCGCAUUUGAUGCUUCUGAAGCGCCCAUGAGAGCCUUGUGAGCCUCAAGCUGGGCCUUAAGCUCGUCCUCGGAGAGGGGACGGUUCUCGAUCUUCGGCCGUUUGGACGGGGGCUGGGUGAUCGACCCAGGGUUCAAACCGAGCUCGAUCUCUUUACGUCGCUUGUAGUCUGCCACGUCAGGGGCUGGAAUACCCUCCAUACCGAAGAUCUCCACUUCGUAGCCAUCACGACCGGGGAGGGCGUUUUCAAUCCGGGGGAGACUGGGAGAAAAUAUAAGGGAGAGCGAGAAAGAAGGACCUUAAUAAUGACUCACUUGUCGGGCUCGAGCUUAUGAACUUGUUGGAUAUGGACGGCCAGACCACCGGCUGUGUUCAAGCGACGAGGGCAGAGGUUGCACUUGAAGUGCUUGGCUUUCUGGUGCUGCAUUAGCACUAGAACGUGUAUCAGUAACUAUAUGCGCACAACAGACCGAGGACUAGUCACCUUUCUCAUCCUCAAACUCCCUCUCACAAUACCAGCACCAGGGACGGAGAACCUUGGACAACUUUAGCAUCCGCACGUUCAUUCAAUAAAAUCACGUACCUGCUUGUUCUUUUUCUUAGCCAUGAUUGAGGGAAAUGAGGGCAGGGAAGGAUACGACGGGUGGACUUCGGGGAGGAGGCGACGGGCGGUGCUGAGAAGCGUCGGUCAAAGGAAAGUUUGCCAGUCAGCACAUAUUGGAACGGCGAUUCGGGCUUUUAAAAUAAUGAAGGCUCAAAGCCGGAGAUGUCUUUCGGAGAUUGAAUAAGAGACGUGAGUUUCCGAACUAACUAUAUCAGUCGAUGCGCAGCGAUGAGGCGCCUGAGCUGCGCUCGCAGCCCCUUUGGUCGACAGUGGUGCGACGCCGACGCCAGCGUCCUGGAGGCCAACGACGUCUACCUAGCUCGACUAUGAUAGCAAUAUUCGCCGUGACUCCAUAAAAUCAGAAUCCUGCGCCGUCGACGGACAACCCGCUGUGUUCUCUCCUCGACAAUGAUUGGACGUUCUUUCCGCGAAUACGUCUUCAUCCGCCUUUCCAUCCUCGGCCUCCGACUCAUCGCGCCGCUCAGCAUAACCUACUUGGCCGUGAGCUGGUACCAUGGACGUGCGCUGCUUUCACCGUGGCUGGCCUCCUAUGCGGCCGUGGAAGCUUUCUUCUACCUCUUGGUGGUGAUACCCCGAAGGCGAGUUCUACAGAAGGUGAGAUUUACCCCAAGUCCUCGUCGAUACAUAGCCUCGCAAGAAGGCCGGCAUCCCCUCGUACCUCGCUGUCCCGGGUUACGCGCCCCCUAAGAUUGGUUCUUAGUCUGGCAAAGUGUCAAUUCUGGUAUGGCUUGGGGUGAGGUAUACACCUUUACGGCCGGGUCACAAUGUCGUGGAACACAAAUUGCGGCUCGAGCUGACACCGUUGGAUCUAGCCAGCAACGCACCCACCACUACCCUCUCGCGAGGAACGCGAAGAGCUCUUCGCAAAAUGCUUCGCCAGGGUCAGCGAAGCCAGGAUGGCCACCGGCUGGUUCUUCUCCGUAGACUCAGCACUCAUCAAGCGCGAAAACAUGAUAGAGUGGCUGCUGUGGGCCAUUUUUGGCACGCAUAGGGAAGAUAUACGAGACGAGUGGGCCGACGAAAUCGAAGGAUACCUGCGUGAUAUCGAGGGGCUAUUCGGGCACAAGAUAAAUCACGGCCGAGCCCAUACCGUGGACUCCAUGAAGGUCUCGCUCGACCCUGUCGAAACGGUUCACAGACCUCUGCUUUGGUACCUCGUGGGUCACUUAUGCACGAACACAGGGAAAGUGUACUAACAUGCCGUAGAUCGUUGCAUUCGUCGACACCUACACGUUCAUCCAAUUGCGCCUCAGUGGUUUCGAACACUAUACCGACGGCUCAUGGACGGAAUGUUUUCCUCCUCGCCCCCUAACGGCUUUGUCCCACAAAUCAAGGCAGGAAGGCUUGAUCUACUGGCUCCGCCCUCAUCGUUCUUCCACAAAGGACCCAAUCCUCUUCCUGCAUGGCAUCGGGGUACGUCUCCAUCCCUUUCUUCCAAUCCCCGUUCACGAACGGCACAUCAGAUCGGAUUAUGGCCCUAUACCCCCUUCCUGCACGAGCUCGCCGCCGGCGACCCCUCCGUGGGCAUAAUCGCAAUCGAGACCCUCGCAAUCAGCAUGCGCAUGUCCCCCCCGCCCCUCCCGCGCCCCGCCAUGCUCUCCGCGCUCUCCGCGCUCCUCACCGCGCACGCCCUCCCGCGCGUCGUCGUCGCCGCACACUCCUACGGCACGAUCGUCGCCGCGCACAUGCUGCGCUCGCCCCUCCUGCGCCCGCGCGUCGCCGCGGUCGUGCUCGUCGACCCGAUCCCGUUCCUGCUGCACCAGCCCGCCGUCGCGUACAACUUUGUGUACCGCGCGCCGCGCGCCGCGAACGAGUGGCAGCUGUGGUACUUUGCGAGCCGCGACCCCGACAUCGCGCGCACGCUCGCGCGCCACUUCUUCUGGGCGGAGAACAUCCUCUGGCGCGAGGACCUCGCCGGCGCGCGCGCCGCCGUCGUCCUCAGCGGCCGCGACCAGAUCGUCGACGCGCGCGAGGUGCGGCGGUACCUUACGGGCGAGGCGUGUGCGGACGGGGAGGAGCCGCGCUUCCUUUGGCAGGCGGGGGAGGGCGAGGGCGAGGGCGAGGGCGAGGGCGAGGGCGAGGGCGAGGGCGACCUGAGGGUCCUGUGGUACCGCGAUCUGGACCAUGCGCAGGUGUUUGAUACGAGGGCGCGCCGGCGGCCCAUCUUGGACGUCCUCCACGAGUUCGCGGGGCGGGAGGUGGGAGCUGCGUUCUGAAACUUAGCGCGAUCUGAGCGUCCCCGCUCGAGCUCGAGACCGGAGUGGGUGUUUGGUGAUGGCUGAAAUUAUACCAGGCUGAGUACGGUCUACCUACAUUUGAUAAAGUACAAAAACAUCAAAACAUACUACUUAUACCCGACUUGAUAUCAUCUCGCUAUGACGAGUGGUGGUGUGAUCGGGGGUGAUGCGCGCGAGAGCGGAGGAGGAGCAGAAAACAACAACAGCCAGUGUCCCUAUGUCAAUGUCAGAACCGAGAUCAUCUCCCCCCACGACGCCCAUCAUCAGGGCUGCUUCUCCAGGCCUCGGAGUCAGACCAUCGGACCGCAGGACUCAGACUCAGGACUCAGGUUCAGGACUCAGUACGCGACCGUGAUACCCGAGCCCUCCCACUUCUCCCAGUUCGGCAGCACGUCGCAGACGAUGUAGUGCGCGAUGUCCUUGCGCGACACGCGGUACCCGUCUCCAAAGUCCCCAUCCUUGAUCGUCCGGUACGGCGCCUUCCCCUUCUUCGCGCCCGCGUCGCCCUUGCACUCCCCGUCCGUGAGCAGCGCGGGGCGGAUGAUGACGAGGUGCUUGACCUCGCCCGCGGGGAGCCCGGGCGUGUCCUCCCACCCCGCGGGGAGGACCGCGGGCUUGACGGCGUCGGUGCCGGGCCACGCGCGCCCGGUGACGUGCGCGAGCACGCGCUCCGCGCCGAGCUUGUCGUCGUGCGGGCCGGCGAGCACCGCGCUGUAGAACGGCUUGAGCGCGAGCGGGAGCGCCUUGUGCGAGGCGGCGGUGAUGCCCAUCGACGUGAGCACGACAAAGUGCGGCUGCGCGCCUGGGGCGCGGAGCGCGUCGGGCAUCGUGCUGAAGGUGUUGAUGAGCGAGCGCGUGACGAGGUCGGCGGGGUUGAAGACCAGGCCGCAGGUGAUGGAGAACGUGGGCCGGCCGCCUGUGUGCAGCGCGGUCGGUCAGAAUGGAGAUGGUUUGGAGAGGGAUACUUGUGGGAAGGACGUGAGACGUACCGAGAGUGAAGACGACGGCGUCGAUCUUGCCGUUUCCGAUUUCGAGGGCCUUGGCCCAGGCGUUGCGGACGGACUCGGCGUCGAGGCCAUCGCCGCGGACGAGGUUGGCCUUGCCCUCUUUGAUGAAGGGCGCCAUGUCCGCAUCGUUGUCGAACGCGCUGGUUGAGCGCAGGAGGUAGGUGACAGUCGCCCCUUGCUCUGUACGAUUAUCAAUGUCAAUAAAGACGCGACAUUUUCAACAGGCCAGAAGAAACGUACUCAGGAGGCGGAGGCCGGCGAAGUAGCCGAUGUUCUUGGACGCGCCAAUAGCAAAGACGUUCAUGUUGCGGGCAGGUGGGGAGUUAUGUGAUGAGAAGAGGAGUGUUGAAAGAGGAGUUGGAUGCUGAACGCCAUCGACUUUGACGGCGAGCCUUUAUACAGGCACGGAAAGAAGCCACUCGUAUCCGGCCCACGAACGUUGAGCGAGUGCAGCACCGCUCCGCAGUAGCCACGUCGCGGCGCCCAAGGGACGUGUCAAGAGGACCAGAUGUUUGCUACAACGCUAGACUCGAAGCAGUCGAGCGGGACGUAUCAGAGACACAAGCGUAUCAACGGAGAUCGGCCGGGGAGAGGCUGUGCCUCACAUCGUCGUACGGAAAUCAAUUAGCGGCCGGAUAGUGAGCUGCAUGCGUCAGCGUUUUUGGAGCGGAUGGAGACAGUCGGCAUCACUUCCUCCUGGCCGGUCCGCGAAAAAGAGGCCUGUGACAAGCAUGUCCGCGGCACAAUGCUCCAUCAACGCGUUUCGCCUGCAGCGAAUCAAUGCCAGGCGGGCCAUCCUAUCCUGGGAUGGAGUGCCAGUGAAUGCCUUCAUUCGACCAGCUGUGUUUCAGAAUCUUUCUCCGUGGUCGGAAACAUACACCCUCGCAUACACAGGAGUACGUCAUCCGAACGUAGCGCGACAAUGGGACGGGGCUGUGCCCUGACGGCAAUCCACCUGACGCAUCUUCAAAUUGUCUUCGAAUGAUGGAGCAAGGGAGUCGCGGAUUGCAUCCUGUACCCGGGAGUGCCUGGGCACGCGCCGAAAGUCUCCGAGCUACAAAGUUCGUCUUACGAGCGACAGAUACUGUACCUAUUAGUAUAUGGAUCCGAUCCUCCGCAGCCACAAGUUGCCGCCACAGACGUUGUACCGUUUGGGCCCUGGGUUGGGCGGCGAAAGGGCGCAUGCUCACCGGUACUACACUUCCUUGCCCUGGCUCACUGACGCGUCAUGGCUUGCGAGUUCACUCGGAAGCCGGCACCGUUGCAGGCGCAGCGACACAACACACAAGUGCCGUGCAGGCCCGGCGCAUUUGCACCGGAUGGAUUGCUCUACUGCGGGCGGAGUACAUGCAUGUUUUGUAUUGCUCUAGUGGUGGGACUCCUUCGCGAUCUGCGCCGCGUACGGGUUGCGCGGGUCGUUGCGGAAGCCUUCCGCUGCACGUCGACGUGUCAGUUGGCCAAGUGCGCUGAAGCUGCGCGGUGCAGCUGGAAGGGCUGGAGAACUCACACUUGACACCGAGGUCCUGCAUCUUGCCCACCAGGAACCACGUCAAAACACUCGCGGUGACGAAGGGCCACAUCGGCUUAGCGACCUGGGGACGGCGUUAGACGACUCUGCUCGCAGGUUCCGAGGACGGACGAACGGGAGUAGGCCACUUGCGGAGACCGAGGAAGCUCAUGGUGAAUGAUGUCUGGUGGUACAAGCCCAGUGAGAGGUCUAUGUCGUUGAAGCAGCGAGGCCGUACGUACGGAGUCAGGAAGUGGUGGUGGUGGUGGAUGUGCGGUGAGUGGAAGAAAACGCGGCAGUUUACGGAACGACGCCGGCGGCAAUUUCUUAACACCUUGUAACAACCAGAUCUGUAAUCUCUUCUUACUCGACUAUUUUGGGGUAAACUGACAGAGUUAUCGCCUUUUGUUACUGGCUCGCAUUACGCGUCUACUUACGAGCACCUUGCUCUGACCUCGCCGACCGUGGUCUCAGUUUCAGACGAGCGACGACCUAGACAUCCUUCACGUAUAUGCUCGGCUUGUGCUUCAGGGGGCUGCAAUACUAGCACUUAUCAGAAACUACCGCUCACUACUCUUGAGGUUACAGCUGUUCUCAUUGUCCAGUGCUGCGCAAAGCUUGCAGCAUACGUGACAUCAUAGGAUACCCCCUCAACAUCCUCGCAUUCAGAACUACUGUCUCUCUUUCCAUCUGCCAUGGCUCAGCAACCAGGAGGAAGUGCCGCCGCACCAGCAGUAUGUCUCUCUCCACAAUCCCGCGUCCUCAUCCCUCACUUCUCCUAGUGGAGACAAUUCCCCUUCUUCGAUGAGGUCCCUGUCAAGGACAUCCACGACCUCGGGAGUGCGCCAGAGGUGUUCCAGGUACGGUGCCCAUCCAUCCCCGCAUACGUCGCGCCCUUGACCAAUGCAUGCAGAAAACCCCAGAAAUAUCGACCAUUGUCGCGUCCUCCGUCGGCCUCGUCGUUGCGGACAUCCAUGGCAGCGUGUACCUCCUCAACCGAGAUUUCGAGAUCGCGAAGAGCUGGAUUGCGCAUAUGGGCGGGCGGGUCACACAUAUGGCGGAGAGGAGGGGGAUCCUGAUCACGCUCGGGGUACGUCCACAGCCAUCUCUGUCUACAAACACGCGCGUUGAGCUUGCGUGCGCAGGAAGAAGACACCGCACGACAUCCCUUCCUGAGGGUCUGGGAUCUGCAAACGUUCGACAAGAAGACCGGAGCCCCCCUGCUUCUCCGCUCAGCGAAGGUCCAGAGCGGCAGCCGCCCCCACCCCGUAAGUCCCAUCCAUCCUGCCCAACGCUACCCACAUAUACCUAUACCCACACGCCCCGCAACAAGGUCUCCACCAUCGCCCUCUCCUCUGCGCUCUCCUACCUCGCCAUCGGCCUCGGCGACGGCACCGUCCUCCUCUACCGGCACCUCGACCAGUCGAUCUACAGCGCCUCCGGCUCGCUCAGCACGCUCCCCAAGCCGCGCGUCAUCCACGAGUCCGCCGCGGAGCCCGUCACGGGGCUCGGCUUCCGCGAGCCGUCGGACGACGCGCCGAACGUGCACCUCUUCAUCGUCACGACGAACCGCGUGCUGUGCUACCAGGCGUCGGGCAAGGGCAGCGGCGGCGCGCCCGCGGUCGUCGACGAGAUCGGGGCCGGGCUCGGGUGCGCGAUCAUGGACUGGCGCGCGCAGGAGAUCGUCGUCGCAAGAGACGAGGCGAUAUACCUCGCCGGCACCGAGAGCCGCGGCGGCUGCUACGCGUACGAAGGUCGCUGCUCCCCGCUCCCUCACAUCCCGUAUGACAGAAAUUCCUGACAUGGUUGGCAGGCUUGAAGGCGCGGAUCCACACGCACCGCAACUACAUCGUCAUCGUGUCGCCGCCGUUCUCGCCGUCCGCGUCGGCGGCGUCGGCGACGGUGCGGAACUUCGUGGCACGGAACGCCGCGCCCGCGAGUGCGGACAUCACGAAGGUGUCCGUGUUCGACCCCGAGAACAAGUUCGUCGCGCAUACGAGCACGUUCACCGAGGGCGUGCGCGAGGUCUUCUCUGCGUGGGGCAAGCUCUAUGUCCUCUCGAACAGCGGCACGGUUUGUGUCUAUAUAUGCUGCCCCCCAAGUCAAAGCUGACGCUUGUCCGUGGGGAACAGCUGAUAUGUCUGGAGGAGAAGCCGACGUCGGCGAAGCUCGACAUGCUGUACCGCAAGGGGCUGUACCUCCUCGCGCUCAACAUCGCGGACACGCAGAAGCUGGACGAGUCGUUCAUUGCGGACAUCCACAAGCAGUACGGCGACCACCUGUACAACAAGGGCGAUUACGAUGGUGCCAUGGCGCAGUACAUCCAGACUAUCCGACAUGUCCAACCCAGCUACGUCAUCCGCAAGGUCAGCUUCCACGUUCAAUCUACCCCAGAUACAUGCUGACGUCGUCGCAGUUCCUCGAUGCGCAGCGGAUACACAACCUCGUAACGUAUCUGCAAGAGCUUCACUCACUUGGCAUGGCCAACUCCGACCACACCACGCUGCUCCUAAACACGUACACGAAGCUGAAGGACGUAACCCGCCUCGAUGGCUUCAUCAAGCGCGAGUCGUUGCGCACAUCCGCCGGCGGCGAGAAGGACGAGCUGCCCUUCGACCUCGACACGGCGAUCCGGGUGUGUCGGCAGGCGGGCUACUUCGAGCACGCCUCGUACCUUGCGAAGAAGUACGAGCGGCACGAGGACUACCUCCGGAUACAGAUUGAGGAUGCAGGUAACUACAAGGACGCACUGAUGUACCUGCGGAAGCUGGGUGCAGAGGCUGUAAGUGAUCUGUCGUGGAUGUGUGAAGGCUCUCUGAUCGACGUUCGUCUAGGCUGAGAGCAAUCUUGCUCGAUACGGCCGUGCGAUGCUCGAAAACCUCCCUGAAGAGACGACCGACCUCCUCAUCGACAUUUGCACCAGCCUCUCGCCUCUGACCGUCGAGGCAGACGAACCAGAGGCGACACCCACAGCGCAGAAGGGCGGCGGCGGCUCGUCCUACCUGUCCUACCUCGCCCUGAACCGAGCACCGGUCGCCAGCGUCCCCUUGCCAUCCGACAACGCCCCCUCGACCAUCCAACCCACCCCCACCAACAAAGCCGAGCCAGCCGCCGCCGCCCGCGGUCCCGCCACUCAGGACGCCGCAUCCCGACAAGGACAAGGCGAUUCCCCGACCGACACGCCGACGACGACCGCCAGCCCGACGAAGGCCCGGCCGGCCCCCGCGCCGGUCAAGCGGCCCUCGCCCCGGCUCUACUUUGCGCACUUCGUCGACCACACGGACCACUUUGUGCGCUUCCUCGAGACCGUCGCGCGCAAGCGCUGGGGCCAGGCCGUCGAGAACGCCGGCGCCCCGCUCCCCGUCGACCCCAACCCCAAUCCCAACCCCAACCCCGACCCCGACUCGAACCCCAACCCGGGCCGGAACAUGGACUCGGCCGCCGCGGAGGAGGAGGAGGGGGAGGAGCGCGACCAGGCGGCGGUGUGGAACACGCUGUUCGAGCUGUACCUGGCAGCGGACAGCGCGAAGGCGCUCGCGCUGCUGCAGAACGCGCGGCGGCUGCCGUACGACCCGACGCACGCGCUCGUGCUGUGCUCGACGCGCGCGUUCACGCCCGGGCUCGUGCUCCUGUGGGAGCGCAUGGGCAUGCACGAGGACGUCGUGCGCUUCUUCAUGGACCGCCACCGCGCGGGCGACGCCGGCGCGAGCGCUGAGGUCGUCCGCCGCCUCGAGCGGUAUUGCGAUGGGGGGAACGGCGGGGAGGACAGGGAGGACAGGGAGGACGGGGAGGACAGGGAGGACGGGGAAGGGGGGGAGGGGCGCGGGCGGGCGCGGCGCCUGUACCCGCUCGUGCUGCGGUUCCUGACGAGCACGCCGGCGCUGCUCGCGGCGCACCGCGAGGACGUCGUGCGCGUGCUGAGGGUCAUCGACGAGGAGAGGAUCAUGCCGCCCGUGAGCGUCGUGCAGGUGCUGAGCAGGAACGGCGUCGCGAGCGUCGGGCUCGUGAAGGAGUGGCUGAUGGCGAGGAUCAAGAGCGCACGGGAGGAGGUCGAGACGGUGCGUCCGCCUUUGCCUCUCUUAUUCCAUUCCUUUGUGUUGUUCGUGGGGGCUGAUCGAUCGUGUGUUGUAGGACCAGCAACUCAUCCUGUCCUACCGAAUGGAGACGCAGGCGAAGCUGCGCCAGGUCGAGGAGCUCACGGACCCCGACAAGCCGCGCGUGUUCCACGUCACGCAGUGCGCCGCCUGCCAGGGCGGCCUCGACCUCCCUGCCGUCCACUUCAUGUGCAACCACAGCUACCACCAGCGGUACGCCCUCCUGCUUUCAUUUCCGUGCUCCUCGUGCUAAUCGGGUUUUACGCAUUGUGCUUGACUUUGGAACAGGUGUCUGGCAGAGAACGAGACCGAGUGCCCGAACUGUGCGCGCGAGCACGGCAUGAUCAGGGAGAUCCGGCGGAACAACGAACGGCUCGCGGACCAGCACGACCUCUUCCUGUCGGAGGUGCGCGAGGGCGGGUUCAGUGCGCUUGCGGCAGGCUUCAGCCGUGGGACGUUGAACGUAACGAGGGUCGAUGAGCUCGCGGCGUAAAUUUACUUAGUGUUGCUCUCAGUUCAUACUUGUUGUAUACCCGGACUCCGUUGCGAGGGCCCAUUCAUCAAUGCAUCAUGGCUGCCACGGUUGCCAUUAAACUUGAGCGACUAAGUUAUGGGGGAGACACCCUGGGCCGAGGGUGCACCAAGCGAGCGAUGAAGCCCCGAAGCUUGAUCAUAGCAUUAAGGAUUCCUACGAGGUGUUCUGAACUAAUAACGCUCAGACACCUCAUGUUACCGUUGGCAAAUUGUCACAAGAGUUUUUUUCACUUUCGCCGACGAAGGUAAUUGUGGUGUGGUAUUAGUACAUGUAUGUAUAAUAUGGCUACAAAUACACAGGACAUGGAGAUGUCGUCGUAUGUAUGUUACUCGUGGCAGUAUAUGCAAACAAGGCCGGCUAUUGCAACGACACGACACAUCGGCAUCAUCACGUACAUAUACAAAAACGGUCCGAUCCGAGGACCCAUCACGGCGGAGAGGCACAAGGCAUGCCAAUACGACAGGGAACAAGCGAUGACGACACGACGACACGGGGGGAAGGGGCGAGUGCGCUGUCAGUGUGUGUUAUGAUGAAACCCAACGGAACGAGCCACGCCCGGCCGAGGCUGGAAACGCUGGCGCCCCCAGCUGGCCGGAGCGCAUCGAGGUCGCCUCAGGGUCCUACCCCCCCCCCCUGCCCGCCUCGAAGGCCCCACAACUCUGGCCCAGCCCCGCAAAACAAGCGCAGGCGCGGGCCCGCCCCAUGUGCCGCGAAGGGCGAGACCCAGCUCCACACCGCAGGGGCCGACUACAAAGCCCCCCCUGCGCGCACAGUAGGCCCCGCGACGGUGCGCCCGCCCCACCCCAGCAAUACUAUAAUCUCGGUGUCCGGUGCGUUUCGUUGCGCAUCCCUCUCCUGUCCUCACAGUCAUUUUUCGCGCUACCAGCAGCAGCAGCAGCGCCCGCCAGCGUCGCCGGCACGCGCACGCGCACGCUCACGCGUACUCACUCGAUGACCUCGAAGCGGCUCCGCUUGGGCUCGCGGCCGUCAUGCGGGUCGUCGAGCGAGCGCUUGCUCGACUCGCCGAGCCCGUGCGCGGCGGCGACGUCGACGCCGUGGAAGGACUCGCCGUUGACGAGGUUCGAGAGGAUGAGCGUGUACUGCUCGUCCGUGAGGCCCAUGCCCGCGAGCGGGUUGAUCUUGCCCUCCUCCUCGUCCCCGGCCCCGAGCGAGAAGCCGAUGGGCAGCGCGCCGAGCUGCUGCUGUUGCUGCUGCUGCUGCUGAUGGAGGGCGCUGGCCUGGAUGGCGAGCGCGUUGUCGAACGACGGGUCCGACAGGGGUGGGACGCCGACGGAGCGGGGCACGCGGGAGAGGGUCUGGAUGACCUUGAGGUGGGUGAGGUGCUUCUCGAGGACCUCCCAGAGGCCGUCCUUGGUGAACGGCUUGGGAAGGUGGUCGUUCAUGCCGGACGAGUAGUACUUCAUGAUCUCCGCUGGCUUCGAGUUGCUCGUCAUGGAGAUGAUGGGCGUCAUGUGGUCGAACUGGCGGAUGAGCGACGUCGCCGACACCCCAUCGAGUUUUGGCAUCACGAUGUCCUGUGAAACACAAUGCAAACGCAGCAAAAAAUAAUAAUUGGGGUCAGCCUUCCCCGAAAACCCAAACGCAAAAAAUAUUUUUUUAACCACAAAGCAACGCACCAUGAGCACCAAAUCGUACUUCUCCAGGUUCAUCUUGUUCACCGCGCCGACGCCAUCGACCGCAACGUCGAUCGUGCACCCAAAGAUUUGCAAGAACUUGCUCGACACCUUCCUGCUCACCGCGUCGUCGUCCACGAGCAGCACCCUCGGGGGCACCGCCCACCCGGGCACGUACGUCGACCUCCUCACGCGCAACGUCUGCGCGCUCCCCGGGCGCCCACUCGGGCCCGCCCCGGCAGCAGACGAGCUCCCAGCCCCAGCCCCAGCCGCAGACGCAGACGGGGCGGGGCCGCCAAUGAACUGGGUGGGGGUGGGGGGCGCGGCGGACGAGCUCUCGCCCUCCUCCUCGGGGUCGCCGCCCAUGCCCUCGGGCGUGGGCAUGACGACCUGGUUGAGCACGUUCGGGUCGAACGCCCAGUUCCCGUUCGCGUCCUCGAGCGACGAGCGCGGCAGCAGGUGGCCCACCGUGAACACCUGCAGGCCCUCGUGGUUCAUCGUGCUCGCGUCCACCGCGAGCCCGUACCGCGCCGCGUCCUCCAUCAGGAACGGGCCCGCGUCAAACGCCGCCGCGUCGAGCGCGCCCGGGGGGGCGGAGGGCCCAGCCGAGGGCGGGGGCGGGGCGACGCCCGAGGGGCUCGUCGAGGACGACGCGGCAGCCUGGGCCUGGGCCUGAGCCUGCGCUUGUGCUUGUGCUUGUGCCUGCGCCUGUGCCUGCUGUUGCUGUUGCUGUUGCUGUUGCUGCUGCUGCGCCUGCUCGCGUUGCUGCUGCUGCUGUUGCUGGGAACGCGCCUUCUGGCUCUGGCCGGACGACGACGACACAGGCUGCCGACCGGCCUGGGCCGGGCCCGCGUUCUGGGCCUGGUCGAGGGCGGGCGUCGGCCGCAUCCGUGUGAGCUCCUCGAUGCGCGCGAGCGCGUCCUGCCUGCUCAUCGGGCGUGCGGGCGCGUCCAUGCCCCCCGGCAUCAGCCCCGCAGCCGCGGCCAUGAUGGUGGACGCGCGCGAGCUGGGCCGCACGGGCGCCCCCCCGCCACUGGGCCCCGCCGCCGCCGCACCGCCCGCAGUGCCGAACGUCAUGCCAGCGACCUCGGCGCGGCGCGAGAUCUCGUUCAUCUGGGCGAGCGACGCGCGGGCGAUGUCACCGUCGGGGUAGGCGCCCAUCAUGCGCUGCGCCUCGGUCGCGGGGAGAAAGGGGUUCGGGUCUGGGGCGUAGGUCCCUGGGGCGGGGUUCGAGAUCUGUUCCGUCUUCAGCUUGCCUAGACCGUCGAAGGGGCGGUGGGUGAGAGCGGGCAGCGGGGAUUUUCGGAACGUGGUUAUCGUGUCACGUAGAUGGACGUUUCGCGGCGAUGAUGAUGAUCGCGUGUGUGUGUGUGCGUGCGUGCGUGUGCAGGAAGUAGUAGUAGGUAGCAGACCAGCCAGGAUUCCAUCCCGUUUCGAGUGCGAGGCAGAUGCGUCCGUGGGAUUUGCAACAAUGCGGAAUGCGGGAGACGGGAGAGAGAGAGCGAGAAAACAUAAAAAAGCAAUAGUACAAAUUAGCUUCCGGCCUGGUGAUUAAUAAACUACGAGGAGACAGUCCCACCAUUCUCCAACUGCAAGAAGUAUUGUAUCAAAUUCUGCAUGAGUCCGUCCUGCUGCGCCAUGUUUCGUUGGAAGUUGACCAUCUCAGACAGCACGUUCUGGUAGUUGGUCUCAAGGGAUCGUAUGUGCUGCGCCAUCUCUUCCUGGUCGCGGGCCAUACGAUCUAACUGCGCCUGGAGCGCCUCAACGGUAGCAGAGGAGGAUGGACUGGGGGAGUUUGCCCCGCGCCCGGUGGAUUUACGCUGAGCGGGCACCUUUCGCUUGAUGUUCUCAAGCGCAUCGCGGCGAUCAGCAUGGAAGUCAGGGUGUCGGAAUGUCCAGCUCUACAACGUGCGAGAGUCCGGGUGAACGCCAUUCUAAGAAGCACGGGGGGAAGGGGACGGAGAACUCACGUGUUCGCCAAACUGGUUAUCGUCCGUGUUCUUGACCUGGGGUUCUUUGUGUUCAUACCGGGUAUCGCGCAGGAGUGAAUGGGAGAAGACGUACUUUGUGGAAGUCAUACUUGUUUAGUUGGCGGACGAAGGAAGCGAAAUUGGAGUGCUUGAACAUGCGGGGGAGGAUGGAUUUCGUGAACUCGUUCAUGUCCUUGACGACAAAGCAGUCGCCGUUAGGACCCCACGAGACGACGUCGGCGAAGGUAGUGUCUUCAAGCAUCCUUUGUGGCAAAUUGAUAUUGAACGUCUAGGCUAGGGCCGAAUAUGAAAAGGGGAGGCACGCACUUGUAGAGCUUUUUGACAAAGUCGGAAGUGGAUGGCAUGCUGUCCUCCGGUUCAUGCUUGACAUGAGACGAGGCGAGGAUGCGGUCUUGGGAGGAGUCGCGGGCCAUUUCGCGGUCUGGGCGAUGUGGGGAGGAGUCUGAGAGGCGACGAGAGGGCGGGGGUAUGUCGUCGCGCGAGGAUGAUGGGCGGUGGCUGGACCAGGGGAGAGUGGAUGAGGCGGAUAGGGAGUGGCCGGAGAGGGGCGAGGCGGUGGCGGAGAGGGAGGGAUGGGUGUAGGUGGGCGGGGGGUAGCGAGAAGCGGCGGGAAGCUGUGAGAUGGGGGGGAGGGUGUUGUUCCUCGGAAAGGAAUUGAGGUGGAGCUGGGAGGGAGGCGGGAGGGUCGAGGAGGGGAAGAGCUGCCUCUGGAGCGGCGGAUACUGGGGCGAGUUGUCCAUCUGGCCUGGACUGUUAUGAGGGGUUGGGGAGGAGGAGCAGAGACGAGGCCGAGUUGAUAUCCCACUCUGUCAAUCCUCCUCCACGGCCCCAUCCCUCCAUUCCC